GGUGUCUCACUACAUUGUCCAGUCUGGUCUUGACCUCCUGGACUUGAAGCAAUCCUUAGCUUCCUGAGUACAUAGGACUGCAGAGCCUCACUCUAUUGCCCAGGCUGGAGUGCAGUGGCACAAUCUCUACUCCUUGCAACCUCCACCUCUUGAGUUCAAGCAACUCCCAUGCCUCAGCCACCCAAGUAGCUGGGACCACAGGACCAAUUUUGCAAUCUGGAAAUUGUGGCCACUUUACCCAGUAUAACCAUCACAGCUUAUUACUUUCUCUGGGGCCUGGAAGCUGAGGACCGAGGUUCAAGUCUAGAUUUACCAGUAGCUGAAUUUGAGCAAGGAAAGCAUCUCUGAACUUUAUUUUCCUCAUCUGAAAAAUGGGGAACAUAAUACCUGACGCAAAAAGUUUUUGUGAAUAAUAUAACACAUGUAAAAUGCUUGGCACAGUGCCUGGCACAGUACUUUC